UUUACUGAAACAUUACUGUGUUUAAACACCAGAGUGACAAAGAAAACUAACUAAUGAAAAAAUAUUUAAUCAUAAAGUUGUGUUCCAUAAAUAUAACCACAAUUGCUGAACUCUGUGUGUGUGUGUGUUCACUAUAGUGUGACAGAGGUUUUUGUAUGACGGCUUCAUAGGAAUGUAUCACUGUGGAACACUUUUGGUGGAGGCUCCAAACUCAUUGUGAAAACUGGUCCGGUGGUGAAGCCUUCCGUGUCUCUGCUCCCUCCCUCCUCUCUGCAGCUCUCUGAGGGAUCGGCCUCGCUGCUCUGCCUGCUCUCGGCCUAUUCUCCACAGGGGGCGCAGCUCAGCUGGACCGUGGACGGUGCCGAGGUGAACGAGGGGGUUCUGACCAGCACAGAAGAACAGAAGAAUGGCUUGUACAGCCGCAGCAGCACCCUGACCCUCAGCAAAGAACGCUGGGAAGAGGCCGAGGUGUUCAGCUGUACUGUCUCCCUCCACGACACCACUCAGAUCACCUCGUUCCGAAAGAGCCGCUGUGACGUCCACUAGAAUUCAAGUGUACACUUUAAAACAUGCUUAGCAGUCUGAGAUGGUGUCACUGGUGUAGCUAUGCUGAAAUAAAGCUUCAAUGUGGAAA